CCUACGGGUGGCUGCAGUGAGGAAUAUUGGUCAAUGGACGAGAGUCUGAACCAGCCAAGUAGCGUGAAGGAUGACUGCCCUAUGGGUUGUAAACUUCUUUUAUAAAGGAAUAAAACGAGGCACGUGUGCCUUUUUGCAUGUACUUUAUGAAUAAGGAUCGGCUAACUCCGUGCCAGCAGCCGCGGUAAUACGGAGGAUCCGAGCGUUAUCCGGAUUUAUUGGGUUUAAAGGGUGCGUAGGCUGUGAGGUAAGUCAGCGGUGAAAUGCCCCCGCUCAACGGGGUGAAGUGCCAUUGAUACUGCCUUGCUGGAAUGCGGAUGCCGUGGGAGGAAUGUGUGGUGUAGCGGUGAAAUGCAUAGAUAUCACACAGAACACCGAUUGCGAAGGCAUCUCACGAAUCCGCGAUUGACGCUGAUGCACGAAAGCGUGGGUAUCAAACAGGAUUAGAUACCCGAGUAGUC
rnacentral:rRNA from 1 species